GAGGGAGGUCCUGAGACAGCAAAAACUGCUAAUUUCUGCAUCCGUGGUUAAACUCCGCGGCUCGCUCG
rnacentral:tRNA from 1 species